rnacentral:rRNA from 1 species
AGUGAACGCUGGCGGGAGGAAGAACACAUGCAAGUCGAACGGCAGCACAGUAAGAGCUUGCUCUUACGGGUGGCGAGUGGCGGACGGGUGAGGAAUGCAUCGGAAUCUACUUUUUCGUGGGGGAUAACGUAGGGAAACUUACGCUAAUACCGCAUACGACCUACGGGUGAAAGCAGGGGAUCUUCGGACCUUGCGCGAUUGAAUGAGCCGAUGUCGGAUUAGCUAGUUGGCGGGGUAAAGGCCCACCAAGGCGACGAUCCGUAGCUGGUCUGAGAGGAUGAUCAGCCACACUGGAACUGAGACACGGUCCAGACUCCUACGGGAGGCAGCAGUGGGGAAUAUUGGACAAUGGGCGCAAGCCUGAUCCAGCCAUACCGCGUGGGUGAAGAAGGCCUUCGGGUUGUAAAGCCCUUUUGUUGGGAAAGAAAAGCAGCAGGUUAAUACCCCGCUGUUCUGACGGUACCCAAAGAAUAAGCACCGGCUAACUUCGUG